GGGCUUUAACCCAUGAACUGCUUUUGAAACUGUUAGUCUUGAGUGAAGUAGAGGUAGGCGGAAUUCCCGGUGUAGCGGUGAAAUGCGUAGAGAUCGGGAGGAACACCAGUGGCGAAGGCGGCCUACUGGGCUUUACCUGACGCUGAGGCCACGAAAGUUGUGGGUAGCAAAACAGGAUGAGAUACCCCUGGUUAGUCCACACUCUAAACGAGGAUUAUUUAGGUGUGGGGGGUGUAACCCCCUCCGUGCCGGAGUUAACACAAUAAGUAAUCCACCUGGGGAGUACGACCGCAAGGUUGAAACUCAAAGGAAUUGACGGGGGCCCGCACAAGCAGUGGAGUAUGUGGUUUAAUUUGACGCAACGCGAAGAACCUUACCAGGUCUUGACAUCCAACUAACGAAGCAGAGAUGCAUUAGGUGCCCUUCGGGGAAAGUUGAGACAGGUGGUGCAUGGUUGUCGUCAGCUCGUGUCGUGAGAUGUUGGGUUAAGUCCCGCAACGAGCGCAACCCUUGUGAUUAGUUGCUACGCAAGAGCACUCUAAUCAGACUGCCGUUGACAAAACGGAGGAAGGUGGGGACGACGUCAAAUCAUCAUGCCCUUUAUGACCUGGGCUACACACGUACUACAAUGGUCGUUAACAGAGGGAAGCAAUACCGCGAGGUGGAGCAAAACCCUAAAAACGGUCUCAGUUCAGAUUGUAGGCUGCAACUCGCCUACAUGAAGUUGGAAUUGCUAGUAAUCGCGGAUCAGCAUGCCGCGGUGAAUACGUUCCCGGGCCUUGCACA
rnacentral:rRNA from 1 species